rnacentral:rRNA from 1 species
UGAGGAAUAUUGGUCAAUGGGCGGGAGCCUGAACCAGCCAAGUCGCGUGAAGGAAGAAGGAUCUAUGGUUCGUAAACUUCUUUUGCAGGGGAAUAAAGUGCAGGACGUGUCCUGUUUUGUAUGUACCCUGAGAAUAAGGAUCGGCUAACUCCGUGCCAGCAGCCGCGGUAAUACGGAGGAUCCGAGCGUUAUCCGGAUUUAUUGGGUUUAAAGGGUGCGUAGGUGGUUUGAUAAGUCAGCGGUGAAAGUUUGCAGCUUAACUGUAAAAAUGCCGUUGAAACUGUCGGACUUGAGUGUAAAUGAGGUAGGCGGAAUGCGUGGUGUAGCGGUGAAAUGCAUAGAUAUCACGCAGAACUCCGAUUGCGAAGGCAGCUUACUAAGCUACAACUGACACUGAAGCACGAAAGCGUGGGGAUCAAACAGGAUUAGAUACCCUGGUAGUCCACGCAGUAAACGAUGAUUACUAGCUGUUUGCGAUACACAGUAAGCGGCACAGCGAAAGCGUUAAGUAAUCCACCUGGGGAGUACGCCGGCAACGGUG